UACGUAGGGACCAAGCGUUGUUCGGAUUUACUGGGCGUAAAGGGCGCGUAGGCGGCGUGGUAAGUCAGCUGUGAAAUCUCCGAGCUUAACUCGGAACGGUCAGCUGAUACUGCUGUGCUAGAGUACAGAAGGGGCAAUCGGAAUUCUUGGUGUAGCGGUGAAAUGCGUAGAUAUCAAGAGGAACACCUGAGGCGAAGGCGGUUUACUAGGCUGAUACUGACGCUGAGGCGCGAAAGCUAGGGUAGCAAACGGG
rnacentral:rRNA from 1 species